rnacentral:rRNA from 1 species
AACGAACGCUGGCGGCAUGCCUAACACAUGCAAGUCGAACGAGACCUUCGGGUCUAGUGGCGCACGGGUGCGUAACGCGUGGGAACCUGCCCUUAGGUUCGGAAUAACUCCCCGAAAGGGGUGCUAAUACCGGAUAAUGUCUUCGGACCAAAGAUUUAUCGCCUUUGGAUGGGCCCGCGUUGGAUUAGCUAGUUGGUAGGGUAAAAGCCUACCAAGGCGACGAUCCAUAGCUGGUCUGAGAGGAUGAUCAGCCACACUGGGACUGAGACACGGCCCAGACUCCUACGGGAAGCAGCAGUGGGGAAUAUUGGACAAUGGGCGGAAGGAUGAUCCAGCAAUGCCGCGUGAGUGAUGAAGGCCUUAGGGUUGUAAAGCUCUUUUACCCGGGAUGAUAAUGACAGUACCGGGAGAAUAAGCUCCGGCUAACUCCGUG